rnacentral:rRNA from 1 species
ACCAGGUUGAUUCUGCCUGACGUGGACGCUAGUCUCACAGAUUUAGCCAUGCAUGUGUAAGCGAAGCUUUUAGUGGAGCGGUGAAAGGCUCAGUAACGGGCGAUUUAUUUGUUCUCCUGUGACGGACAACAUCGGGAAACUGAUGGGAAAACGUCUAAGUUGCAGUUAAUUGAUUGUGACGUAAACGAUUUUGUGCAGGAGAGUAAGAUGCCAUCCUAUCAGUUAGUAAGUAGGGUAAGGGCCUACUUAGACGAAGACGGGUACGGGGAAUGAGGGUUUGAUUCCGGAGAGGGAGCCUGAGAGAUGGCUACCAGGACCAAGGUCAGCAGCAGGCGCGAAAAUUAUCGAAGCCCGCCUAGGGGCGAUAGUGAGGAGACGUGUAUAACGAAGUACGCGUAAAGAACGUGCUA